rnacentral:rRNA from 1 species
GAUGAACGCUGGCGGCGUGCCUAAUACAUGCAAGUCGAGCGGACCAAAGAGAGCUUGCUCUCUGAGGUUAGCGGCGGACGGGUGAGUAACACGUGGGUAACCUGCCUGUAAGACGGGGAUAACUUCGGGAAACCGAAGCUAAUACCGGAUGAUAAAGAGAAACGCCUGUUUCUUUUUUGAAAGUCGGCCUUGUGCUGACGCUUACAGAUGGGCCCGCGGCGCAUUAGCUAGUUGGUGAGGUAACGGCUCACCAAGGCGACGAUGCGUAGCCGACCUGAGAGGGUGAUCGGCCACACUGGGACUGAGACACGGCCCAGACUCCUACGGGAGGCAGCAGUAGGGAAUCUUCGGCAAUGGACGAAAGUCUGACCGAGCGACGCCGCGUGAGCGAUGAAGGCCUUCGGGUCGUAAAGCUCUGUUGUCAGAGAAGAACAAGUACCGGAGUAACUGCCGGUACCUUGACGGUACCUGACCAGAAAGCCACGGCCAACUACGUGCCAGCCGCCGCCGUAA